rnacentral:rRNA from 1 species
GUGGGGAAUAUUGGACAAUGGGGGGAACCCUGAUCCAGCCAUGCCGCGUGUGUGAAGAAGGCCUUUUGGUUGUAAAGCACUUUAAGCGAGGAGGAGGCUACCGAGAUUAAUACUCUUGGAUAGUGGACGUUACUCGCAGAAUAAGCACCGGCUAACUCUGUGCCAGCAGCCGCGGUAAUACAUAGGGUGCAAGCGUUAAUCGGAUUUACUGGGCGUAAAGCGCGCGUAGGUGGCCAAUUAAGUCAAAUGUGAAAUCCCCGAGCUUAACUUGGGAGUUGCAUUCGAUACUGGUUGGCUAGAGUAUGGGAGAGGAUGGUAGAAUUCCAGGUGUAGCAGUGAAAUGCGUAGAGAUCAGGAGGAAUACCGAUGGCGAAGGCAGCCAUCUGGCCUAAUACUGACACUGAGGUGCGAAAGCAUGGGGAGCAAACAGGAUCAGAUACCCUAGUAGUCC